rnacentral:lncRNA from 1 species
CUCGGGCCUGGCUCGCCCGCGGGCGGAUGGCUCCGGGUCUCUGCUGCUGAGGAUGUGGCUGCCGGGCGGAGGUCGUCCACUCCCCUGGGCCUUUCUCCGCGAGCCCUCCCACGCCGCCCGCUCCUCUCCCGGGGCGAAGGGCGGGGACGAGGCGCGCCGAAGCCCCGAGCUGAAGAGAAGGGUGGGGGCAUGAGGGCGCUGGAGUGAGGAACAGAUUGGAGCCUUCCCACUUCCUCUCCAAUCUCAGCCCCCGGGAGGAGGGGUGAGGCCCUCGAGGGGGCCCGGAGUUAAGGAGGAAUAGACCGUUUCUCUCUCUCCUGUCUCCCCCGCCUCUGCCCGUCUUCCCUCUAAGCCGGCCUCUAGGUGCAGAGGCUGACGUCCAGGAUGGGGACCGGGGAAGCCUCUGGAGGGUAUAUCCGGGAAGGCACCAAGGCUGAAGUGAGAGCGGUUCUGGGGAAGGCUUUAAAAAGCAGAUAUGGACCAGGGUAGAGUUCGUACGCUGUAGCUUUUCAAGAACACCGAUCUCAUUAAUUAAAGAACAGCAACUAUUUAAUUCCAGUUAUAAACUAUUGUUUUCCAGUUAGUCUGGGUAGGUGUGGCCGUUUGUAGAAUAGUUAGAUUACAUUAGUCUAUUGCGUUGGUACAGUUGUCUAUAGCUUGAGCAUAUAAAAACUCCUGAGCCCAGCAGAAAAGUUACUUUCCAAUACCAGUCUCCAUCCUCCGUGCUUUGGAAGUUGCAUCGUUUUCCGGUUUUUCGUACUCAAAGAACACUGUCAAUUAUGACAGCUCUGUGACCUCUGCAAAGAAAGAUGCAGUCUAGCACCUCAGUUAAGAAUAUGGACUCUAAAGUCAGACUGCCAGGCUUCAAAUUCCAGUUCUGCGACCUCAGCAAAGUUACUUAACCAAGCUCUCAGUGCCUUGUUUUCUUCAUCUGUAAAAUGAGGAUGACGUCACAGCAUUGUUGAGAGAAUUAAUACAGGCUCCAGACUUGUGAAUGGAGAAGUGUUGAGGUGACCCCAGCUCCAGCCACCAGCUGACGACAACCAUACCGGAGAUCCUGAGAGCUGCCUAGCUGACCCCAGGCACCCCCCAGACUUAUUCAGCACUUAGAAGAAUGCCAGGCAGGCUUUCCCCACCAACCAAGAUGGAAUAACAGGGAAAAGACAUACCCUUCUAUCUUCAAUAAUUGGAAACCCAGACAAAGUUUAUGAAACGCUGGUUUUCAAGACAUAGGACAUCAGACAAUCAAGGACAGUAAACACUGAGAUGGGAAACAAACAAGGAAGCCAUGAAAACUUCAAAACUGCUUCACCACCUGGAGACCAAGCACCCUGCAUUAAAAGACAAGCCUUUGGAGUUUUUCUAAAGAAAAAACAUGAACACAGAGAACAGAAGUAAUUAUUGAAGGCCACUACUUCAUUAAGUGUGUCUGUACUGAGAGCAUCGUUCCUAGUGGCUAACCACGUUAUUAGGCUAAGAAGCCCUUUAGUAUUGGUGAAGAGUUGAUCCUGCCUGCUGCUAAGGACAUUUGUCAUGAACUUUUAGGAGAGGCUGCUGUUCAAAAGGUGGCACAUGUUCCUCUUUCAGCUAACACCAUAACUAGAAGAAUGGAUGAAAUAGCAGAGAAUAUUGAGGCACAAUUGUUAGAGAGGAUUAAUGAGUCACCGUGCUACACAAUCCACAAAAGGGUUUUGUCCCAGAAAUAGACUCAUACAUAUAUGAUCAGUGAUUUUCAACAGUGGUACAAAUGCAAGUCAGCGCAGAAAAAAUAAUCUCUUCAACAAAUGGUGCAGGAACAAUUGGAUAUCCAUAAAAUGAACUCGGAUCCACGCUUUGCACCAUAUGCAAAAAUUGACUCAAAAUAGGUAUAGGUCCUAGACCUAAAUGUAACAACCUGAAACUCUAAAAUUUCUCAGGAAAAAAAUGGGAUAAAAUCUUUGUGGUCUUGGAUUAGGCAAAGAUAUUUUCUUGUGUUUGUGGGUAAAGAAACCUUUAAUGAGGGUUCAAGGUGUAAGAGGAGGACCUUGUAGAGAGCCAGCGCUUAGCCCCAGCCUCCUCAUAUGCACAUGGCUCUGUAGAGGUUCUCCAGACAGUGCUGCUGCUGCUGUUUCGAGCCUUAUCUCCUCUGUGCUCCUC